rnacentral:ncRNA from 4 species
GUUGACCUCGGAUCAGGUAGGGAUACCCGCUGAACUUAAGCAUAUCAAUAAGCGGAGGAAG